ACAUAAAUAUAUUUUAGGUUAAAGAAUACUUUUGUUUUGUACCAUAAAUAAAGAAAAAUCUGAAUUCCCUUGCUAAAAUUAAGAUGUUUGUUAUACUCCAUCAGAACAUGUGGGAUCACUCUAGGUCUACGCCCUCUUAAUGAAUUAAGUUAAACUCUUGGUACAUGAUUUGUUAAAUUCAUCCCUAUUUAGCAAAGAAACUUUGGCACAUUGCUAUUCCUGAAAUCCACAGGCUUAAGCUCAGACAAAACUGGGCCUCUCCUAAUACUUUGCUAAUUCCGCCUUUCCCAUCUUACGCUGGCCCUGUUUUGCUUGUUUGAGUGGCUCACACAGAAAGCUCAGCCCAGGAGCAAAGGUCACUCCCCCGGUACAGUCUCUUCGUGCUGCAGGAAAUAAAGGUGAGAGAACGGCUGCGUUUUCAUUUUCUUCUUUUGGUGCUUCUCUGCCAUCCUCUGCUGGAACCAUCAGUGCCCAGGCUCUGCACCAUACGCCAGAGACGUCUUCCAUGUAUGCAGUCACCAACACCAGCAGUCGUGUAUUAGAUCUUUGCAUCCGUCCCCCUCGUCAUGUCUCAUGUGAAUAAAGUCUGGUGCGAAUCAAUGUCCAUCCUAGAAAAAGCUUCCUGCUAAUACUCAGUUUUCAAGCCAGUAAAGAAGCCAAUGAAAAAUACUCCUGGAAAAGCACUUCGGGUGUUUCUGAAUGUUGGAAAAAGCACAGCGAUGCCUCUGUCUCCCUGUUGUUGGUCUGUAACAUCUCUGGCUGGAGGAGCUCAGGACACCAAGCAUGGUGCUUCCCUGGGGCUGCUUCAGAUUAUUCCCGCUGUCUGUGUGAGGAAGCUGCCAGGCAGAGGAGCAGCAGGGUGGGAUCUCCACCUGCACCCCACCUGUCAUUCAUCUGCAUUAAGCACAUCACCACCUGGACCACAGCAUGAAAUCGUGGAGGAUCUGGGGGAGCAUGGCUGGGGGCUCUGAGGGUGGCUUGAGCAUCUGUGCCAGGAGGAGCCCGGCUGGGGAGGGAUGUGUAGAAAUAACUCAGGAGGGACAGCUGGGGAUGGAGAGGUGACAGCGUAAGCAGAAGCCGUGCUUGUGUCUGGGGGAUGGUGGCGAGGACUGGAUGCUUCUUCCAUGGACAGGAGCCCGGCGAGGAGGUGGGGAGCUUGGGAGCACCAAUCCUGACCUCCUCCACUGCUUGUCUCCUGCCUGGUCAUAGCGAGUGGUCCAGGGCCCCAUAAAACACUCAACAAGCUUGAAACUGUAAAAAUGUUUAGAUUUUAAAAUUGAUUUUUUUGAUCAUUUUUACUCUGUUUGAGUGCCCUUCUCAGAAGCUGAUUCACAAAAAUGGUAAUUAAAUGUUAACUGCAGAGUUACUCCCCGAAUGCUGACUCGUGGUUCGCAGAAUGACUUCAGCAGUCUAAUUUUGGAGCGGGAUGCUCUGCGCUACAUGAUGCUUCGAUCCAAAUGUUCCUCUGUAAUUACCUCAGUGCUUUGAGCUCAUUACGGUAAAAUGUAGCUGCGUCCCUUUAAUUUCAGCAAGCGUUGCAGUGAAUGGAGGUGUGCCAAGUGCCCGGUUUCACAGAACAGAGUUUCGCCAUCUGACAGAGGCAUCUGUCACUGUUUGCAGAUAUCGAAGAUAUUUGUCCUCUGUGUAAAUAGGGUGGCGGGAAGCACUUGGAAAGCAAUCUAAGCCUUAAAAUAGAUGGGCGUACCCGAGUGAACACCUUGCUGGAGGAUGAAAAGCAAUGGGCAACUUUUAAAUGUUAAGGAGAAGGAGCAGGGCUCUGGGCAGUGGUGGUCAAACCCGCCAGGCUUCCUACUUGCAGCCUGCUUUGGCUCGGUGCAUGGCCUCGAGGUGAAAGUGGGCUCUUCAUUGCCUUUGAAAAUAAAGUUUUCAGCUACUCUUGGCACUUCUGAUCUCACUGUUGGCUGCUGCCCAGCCUGCUCGAAUAUAACAUUGGUUGUGUCUUUGGCAGAAAGCAAGCUUUUACAUAAGAGAACAUAAAUCAUUUUCAGAAGCGCUUUAACUGCCCUAAAACAUCUUUACGGGUAGCAUUUAAUCCAAACGGAGUAUCCCAAAUGCCUAUGUCAAUUAUAUGGGUGUUUUUUCUUAAAUACUGCACGUCAUAAUGUUCUUUUUUCUUUACAUCUUAUUACUUUCUAUCAGCAUAGAGGGAUAUUUAUCGUUAAACUCGCUCAUGCCUGUCAUUUCUCGACUUUCACAGAUUAUGGACCUUCUGCACGUAGUCGGAUUCAGAAGUAACUCUGUGUCCAACCACGGUCACAGAACCGACAGCAGCGCUGCCUGCGGUGUGCCCAAGCCUUGAAAGCUGCCUGAGGCCCAGGAAAUCUGGAGCUCACUAUCUGAUCCUCCCUUGGGGUGUUGGACAAGCUGAGUGAUGAGAAGUUCGUGGUGCCUUUCUUCUCAGCAGACAGUGCCAGACUCCAGGCUCUGGAGCUCGAGAAGCUCACCAACACGUCUGGCACGGCUCUGAGCCUUGGCUAAAUGCCUCUAUCAUCCCAUCCCACUUCUGCUGUGACCCAGAUUUAUUCAGGCCGUUUGGAAACGCACCUCCUCCUUGGAUCCACCCGUUUUUUACCAGCCGAUGAAAACAGGAAUUUUUGUAAGUCAGCUCUCGACCACUGCAAGGAGACUUCACUCCUCCAACACACAGAGCACGGAAAUUCUCACAGGUUUUGGGGCACGCAUCAGAAAAGAGCUGCAAACAACAUACCUCAAACAGAAGUGUCCCGACGGGCUGCUCAUCAAUGGCUAUGUCCAGGUACACAAACACGUGC